rnacentral:lncRNA from 1 species
GUUUAAGGCUGACCUACUUUUAGGUGACAAGAUCAAAUUAAUCACGAGGCAUUAUCGUUAAGUUUUAAAGUUGGUCCGCUCCGUUCUAGAACUAAGCAUUACCUGCCACCUCGCUUGGAAUGUUAUUGCUGCCUCUCAUGUGGAACUUUGUUACUUUCUCACGGAAAUGCAGCCUAAAAUGUUAAUUCCUAACAACCAAACCCCAACACCGGGAGGGGACGCUUCUUUCUCCUGACUCCGAAGCACUGCGAAGUUUGAGGUCCUAAAGCAGGAGGUAACAAGCUCACAGGCUUCCACCCUUUCCUGGAGGAAGGAGCACAGCUGAGGCCUGCGGACUGCGCAGUCCACGUUCGAGUAAAAAAUUUUUUUCUUUGCACCCAUUCUGUUUUGACGCACUGCAACUCUGUAACAGGUGACAGUGUGAUCCCAAGGCCACAGGGACCCGGGAACGGAGGGGCAGAGGCGGCACAUAGAUCAGACGCCCAAACCUGGCCUCCUCCAGCCGCGUCCCCGAGCCUGUGCAAUCUGCUCCAGGUGGCAUACAGGACAGUCCUCCCGCGACGGGCGGUGGCACGUUCCCGCCGGCGUCUCUGCGGCCUCCCGCACCCCGGGACCCUUGGCACGCGGCAGCCGCCCCGCUCGCUCCGUUUGCAGAAGACACCCAGGCCCAGGGUACGACCCGCAGCUCGCGGCUGGGCCCGGCCGGGGCGGGGCGGGGCCGGGGGCGGGGCGGUGACGCGACCGCGCGCGGGCGGGCGGGCGAGCGGGCGGGCGCUCAGCGGCUGCUGAGGUGCGGAGGCCGCCGCGCCGCGCCGGUCCGCUCCGCUCGGACUGUUCCGGGAGUCGGGCGGGGAGCGCAGGCCGAGACCCAGCGGACCGGACGACCUCUCCUUCGUCACUUCCUGCCGGCCCGCGGUUUCCGGAGGGAACGAGAAGCCAGAUGCUUCCCCUUUCUGUCAGCACUCGGUGGUGUUUCAGGGGCACUGGAUGUCAGCAGUCUUUGAGUGUCAAUCGCUGUACAGAUAGGGAAUUCUACCUCACCUGGCCACUCUCUAGGAACCACGAAGACGUCCCUUUAAAUGAAGCAUGGGCCACCAACCUGGUCAGCAGCCAGGCUGCACACACCUGUGAAGGACCCUUACCUUGAAAGCGGCAUGACUGGCUUCCAUAUCAUCUUUGAAUAUGAGCGAUAUUCCCAGUUUCAGCAUGUCCUCACAGAGACCAGCACACCAGGUUUAUUUCAGGAAGCCUCUCAACUCCGCAAGUACUGUGCUGUCUGUCUGCACAUGGACUGGAUUGCCCACUGACUCAUACAAACAUCGGGAAAAUGGUGAAGGACUGAUGGAAGGCGGGUUUCAGGAAGCAACUCCAGCCCACUUACAGCUUCAAGCAGCUUGAAAGAAGAUAAUUCUAGAACUGAGUGACGAGAUCCCAGUCAUUUCUACAUUUGUAAAGACGUUCAUCGUCUUUAUUAACCCAUCUGCUUGGGGAAUGGUAUUUGAGCCAUUGUCCAUCACUGUAGCAGCUACAAUCUACUUGUGAUCAGAGUUUUAUCUGUGGGUACAGAAAUCUCAUCAGUAGUAUAUGGAAUAGAAACCGUUCAUCAGGACAGUGAGGCACACCCCUCCCUCCCCCUCCCACACACACUGGUGGAAGUUCACCUUCAUUAAACAGUCACUGAAGAGUGUGGUGCCCACUGAGUGUCAGUUGUUUCUAAUCCACAGUUUCAGUGGGAGUUCUGGUUUUCUUUGUCUACUCAGGGCAUUCUCGAACAAGUUAUAGCACUGAAGAGCUGAUAAUCAUAUUUGGAGGUGUUAAAAUAAGAAUUGAGCUGGGUGAGGUGGGUACACCUUUAAUCCCAAAAUUCAGGAAGCAGAGACAGGUGGAUCUCUGAGUUCGAAGCCAUCCUGGUCUACAGAGUGAGCUCCAGGACAGCCAGGACUACACAGAGAAACCCUGUCUGGGGUGGAGGGGCAAGGGGUCCAUCUUUGUAAAUAGAAUUUUAAUAUACUUACUCUUCUACCUUAUGUUUUCUAGAAUGAACAACAAUUUCUAAUGAUGCUGACACACGCCAGUAAUCUUAGCACGUGGGAGGGGGAGGCAGGAGAAUCACGAAUUUAAAGUCAUCUUCUGCUUUGUAGUUAGCUGAAGCCAUUCUAAGCUAAGUAAGACCCUGCCUCCUAACAUUAGGACGGGAAAAAGUAGCUUCCGUUCUUUUCAGGAUUGGUCUUCUUUUUUCUUAUCCACUGUUUAGUUGUUACUCUCAUUCAUUGGUGCUACUUGGUAACCUGAGUGUCCUGGAAGUAGCAGACAGUAGAACUUUCUAAUCUUAAACUUCGUGUUACGUUUCAGACCAGUUUUUAGUCUGUUGCUAUGACAUCGCCCUCUUACCCUUCCCACAUAGUAUAUUGGGAAAGGCAUGCAAAAGAAAGAAAACACAUUCGUGUAGAUAUCUAAGUGAAAAUCAGUCUUGAGGUCAUUAAUGCCCCGUAUGCAUUCAGAUAGGAAUUAGUUUGUUGUUUAGAAUUAAGACCCUUGGUGCUGUAAGUUGUAUUUUCAGCUCUUUCUAUUAUGACCCUAUCCUAACUGAAGAUGACUUGAUUUCUUAAGUACAUUCUUGUAACUUAAGGGACAUUUUUGUGCUUACAAUUCAUGUUUUACCCAACAAGGACAAAUAAAAGAAAAAGAACAAGUUUUUAAUGUAGUGAAGCAAAAUUCCAUAAAGCAUUUGGUUCACUUUAAUAUUUUCCCCUGUGGGAGGCCUGCUUUCCUUUCUUCCUCUUCUGCCUGAUAUCCAUCAGCCACUUAUUCUCAGUCAUACAUUCUUUUUACCACCUAUCACCAUCUAUUUAAUUUCUAGGUGUUUUGUCUCUCCCAUGGGUCAACUUUCUGUUUUAAAUCUUUGUGGGUUUUUUUUUUUUAAUUAAAACAUUUAUUUCAAUUAUGCGUGUAGAUGUAUCUGUGUGUAUGUGCACAUGAGUACAGUACUGUUGGAGGCCAGAAGAGGGCAGCACAUCCUCAAGCUGGAGUCAUGGGCAAUUGUGGACUGUUAGGAACCACACAGGUUCUCUGCAAGAGCAGCAUAAGCAAUUAACUGCAGAGUCUCUAGUCCCUUUC